AUGGCAUCAGAUCAAGUUGUGCAGCAGGAGAGCAGCUCUUCUUCGGUGCUUCACCUGAUCCCUGAUCAAGUACAGAACAGGAAGAUCCCGCCGCUUUGCNGUUGCCUGAUCCCGGCAGGAGCUCUCCUCCAAGCCAAGUUCCAUUCAAAGAAAUCUCCCCUCACUUCGCCCCGUUCCCCUCCCCACCCCUCUCGGCGUUUCCCAUUGUUAAGCAGCAGUUUUGAACUUGAGGACCGAACGCCGGGCAAGGACUUGGGGAGGAGAAAAGAUGAGUUGGAGACGGGGCGGUGGGGGAAGAGAAAUGCAGGCUGGCCGCAUCAUCUAGUCUGCUGAAGAGAUCCAGUGAAGACCCCCCUGGCCCCCUUUCCCUCUGGCAGGUNUUGGGGCUGAAAUCUUCUCUCCCUCCCCAGCAUAUUUGCCACUGCUUGCCCAUCACUGUGGGGGCCGAGAGGAGUUUGACAGCUCUUUGU
rnacentral:lncRNA from 1 species